rnacentral:misc_RNA from 1 species
ACGCGAUAAGUAGUGUGAAUUGCAGAAUUCAGUGAAUCAUCGAAUCUUUGAACGCACAUGGCGCCCCCCGGCAUCCCGGGGGGCAUGCCUGUCCGAGCGUCGUUUCAACCCUCGAGCCCUCCGUGGCCCGGCGUUGGGGACCUACGGCUCCGGCCGCAGGCCCCGAAAUCCAGUGGCGGACCCGCGACGGCCCCUCCUUUGCGCAGUAGCAUCAGCCUCGCAUCGGGAGCCCGCGGGCGCUCCGGCCUCUAAACCCCACUUUAAAGCCCGUCUCCGGCGGCACCAAGGUUGACCUCGGAUCAGGUAGGAAUACCCGCUGAACUUAA